AUACGGAGGGAGCAAGCGUUAUUCGGAAUCACUAGGCGUAAAGGACGCGUAGGCGGGUUUGUAAGUCAGGUGUGAAAUCCUACAGCUCAACUGUAGAACUGCACUUGAAACUACAGACCUAGAGUAUGGAAGGGGCAGAUGGAAUUAGUGGUGUAGGGGUAAAAUCCGUAGAUAUCACUGGGAAUACCGAAAGCGAAGGCGAUCUGCUGGGACAUUACUGACGCUGAGGCGUGAAAGCGUGGGGCGCAAACAGGAUUAGAAACCCCAGUAGUCC
rnacentral:rRNA from 1 species